rnacentral:rRNA from 1 species
GCCCUUGAAAAAAUCAAAGGUGAUACCUGCCCAAUGGUUUUUAAUAAAAUAAUACUAAUAAUAUUAUAAAAAAAUUUAAAGGACGCGGUAACCUUGACUGUGAUAAUGUAGCAUAAUCACUCGCCAUUUAAUUGAUGGAUAGUAUGAAUGGUUUAACGAAUAUUACACUGUCUUAAAAAAAGAACUCAUGAAAAUGAAAUAAUAGUUAAGAUGCUAUUUAAAAUUGUAAGACGAAAAGACCCUAUAGAGCUUAACUAUAAUCUUUUUUUUUAAAAACUGAAAAUAAAUUCCUUAAAAAUAAAAAGACUGGUAGUUUAGUUGGGGCGACUAUCUUCUAAAAACAACGAAGAUAAGCAAUAUUAAUAAAAUAAUUUACUGUAUAAUCAAUAAAUUUAACAGUUAUUAAAAUAGGCUAUAAUGACCCGUUAUAAAUUAGUAAAAAAUAUAACGAUUAAUAAAUAAAAGCUACCUUAGGGAUAACAGGAUAAUUUUGUUUUAGAGAUCUAAUCGAAAACAAAGUUUGUCACCUCUAUGUUGAAUUAAGAUAUCCUGAUAAUGCAGAAGUUAUCAAAGGUAGGUCUGUUCGACCUUAAAAAUCUU